rnacentral:misc_RNA from 1 species
UAAUAAGUGUUUUAUGGCACUUUUUAAAUCCAUAUCCACCUUGUGUGCAAUGUCAGUCGAUCUUCUUUCAUGGAGAUCGACCAAACAUCAACCUUUAUCUUUUAACUCUUUGUCUUAAAAAUAUUAUGAAUAAACAAUUCAAAAUA